rnacentral:rRNA from 1 species
CCUACGGGCGGCAGCAGUGAGGAAUAUUGGUCAAUGGGCGCGAGCCUGAACCAGCCAAGUAGCGUGAAGGAUGACUGCCCUACGGGUUGUAAACUUCUUUUAUAAAGGAAUAAAGUGAGGCACGUGUGCCUUUUUGUAUGUACUGUAUGAAUAAGGAUCGGCUAACUCCGUGCCAGCAGCCGCGGUAAUACGGAGGAUCCGAGCGUUAUCCGGAUUUAUUGGGUUUAAAGGGAGCGUAGUUGGGUUGUUAAGUCAGUUGUGAAAGUUUGCGGCUCAACCGGAAAGUUGCGAUUGAUACGGGCAGUCUUGCUUACCGUUGAGGUAGGCUGCAGUCGUGGUGUCGCGGUGAAAUGCUUAGAUAUCACGAAGCACUCCGAUUGCGCCGGCAGCUUACUAAACUGCCACUGCCCUUGCUGCUC